AACGAACGCUGGCGGCAUGCCUAACACAUGCAAGUCGAACGAGACCUUCGGGUCUAGUGGCGCACGGGUGCGUAACGCGUGGGAACCUGCCCUUAGGUUCGGAAUAACUCCCCGAAAGGGGUGCUAAUACCGGAUAAUGUCUUCGGACCAAAGAUUUAUCGCCUUUGGAUGGGCCCGCGUUGGAUUAGCUAGUUGGUAGGGUAAAAGCCUACCAAGGCGACGAUCCAUAGCUGGUCUGAGAGGAUGAUCAGCCACACUGGGACUGAGACACGGCCCAGACUCCGACGGGAGGCAGCAGUGGGGAAUAGUGGACAAGGGGCGAAAGCCUGAUCCAGCAAUGCCGCGUGAGUGAUGAAGGCCUUAGGGUUGUAAAGCUCUUUUACCCGGGAUGAUAAUGACAGUACCGGGAGAAUAAGCUCCGGCUAACUCCGUG
rnacentral:rRNA from 1 species